rnacentral:rRNA from 1 species
AUGCCUCACACAAAACUUGUGCUCGGCAUCUGGCCAAACUUUGUGGACAACAUUUAUCAAACGUUUCUUAUUGUCUCUCAUAAGUGUGAAAGGAGCACUAUUGGUGAUGCUCGGAUCAUCUUUCAAAGUUGUGAGAAACCACUCCCAAGAACUUGUGCAUUCUACUUCCACCCAGCCCAUAGCAAUGGGGAAAAUGCAGUCAUCAGGAUCAAUGCCAACUGCACUAAGCAGCACACCUUUGAACAGUGUUUUCAAACAUUUUCUGCCCAAUGGAAAUUUUGUGUCUUUGACCAGUCCAGUUGUCAGCAAAAAAUUAAGCCAGGGUUCUUCUCUCUUAACUCAUGUCCAUAA